AUGAGUGUGUUUAAGGUACCAGCUGGCCUCUGUGACGAGCUUACGAAGAUGAUUCGCCGCUUUUGGUGGGGCGCAGAAAAAGGUAAGCGCAAAACCCAUUAGGUAAGUUGGGAUAGUAUGUUGCGACCCAAGGGAAGAGGGGGGGGGUUUAAAGAUCUAAGAUUGUUCAAUCAGGCCUUGUUAGCACGACAGGCGUGGCGUCUAAUUCAGUACCCAGAAAGUCUUUGUGCACAGGUCAUGCGAGCUAAGUACUACCCGGCUGGUUCCAUCACAGACACGGUCUUCACGGGUAACGACUCCUCGAUGUGGAAUGCUAUUGAGUAUGGCCUUGAGCUAGUAAAGCAGGGCUAUAUAUGGCGAGUCGGUAAUGGCACAGACAUUCGCAUCUGGCGAGAUCCUUGGAUUCCAAGGGGCCCAACCUUUAAACCAAUUACAGAGAAGCGUCGGUCUAGACUGAAGUGGGUUGCUGAUCUUCUGACAACCGACGGGUCCUGGAAUACCACACUUCUUAGGCAACACUUCUUCCCAGCAGAUAUCACGGAAAUUUUGAAGAUCAAACCAUCUCGCCGUUCGGCAGCGGACACGAUUGCAUGGCAGCCGGAUAGACAUGGUCGAUUCUCAGUGAGGUCUGCGUACAAUAUGGCUCGGGAUGCGAUCAUGGCCGGACAAGGAAUUGGGGAGUUGAGUACUAGACCUGAUGGAUCAAGACCGGCAUGGAAGUUGCUAUGGAUGUGUGGAGCUCCACCCAAGGUCUGCGUUUUUGCAUGGAAAGCAGCUCGGGAGGCGCUAGCUACUCAAGAUAAUAAGAGGCGUCGCCAUAUGGAACCCGUGGGAACUUGCACCAUAUGUGGGCAGGAAGAUGAGACGGUUCACCAUGCACUGAUUAGAUGUUCUCAUGCCCGAAUUCUAUGGGAGGAAAUGAGACUUGUUUGGGAUCUACCGGAUGUUGAAUCUCUUCGGAGGAACGAGCCAGAUUGGUUGUUGAUGCUGAUGCAUGAGCUGAAUGAGAUACAGCGCAUGCUUGUUCUAAUGGUGCUAUGGCGGGUUUGGCACGUUCAUAAUGACCUUACACAUGAUAAACCAAUGAUUCCAAUUGAAGUUUCCAAACGCUUCCUGUGUGGAUAUGCUGAGUCUCUACUUAUGAUAAAACAUUACCCACGUUCAGACCCCACCAAAGGAUAA
rnacentral:rRNA from 1 species